AAGUGAUCCCUGUGUCCCAUUCCACUCACAUUGAGUUGUGCUUGUGGAUUGGUCCAUAGGGUAUUUGCUUGAACUCUUGGAUGCGGUGCAUUACAUGUGGGCAUGAGGAUUCACGUCCUCUCUCUGUCCGAACAAAAGCUUUCAACGCUUAGUUGCGAACGAUUGCCAUCUUCGUUUCGAGCCUUCUGGCUAGUGCGGUGAUGGCUUCGUUGAGGAAUGCUACCUGGUUGAUCCUG
rnacentral:misc_RNA from 1 species